rnacentral:rRNA from 1 species
UACGUAGGUGGCGAGCGUUGUCCGGAUUUAUUGGGUUUAAAGGGUGCGUAGGCGGCUUUGUAAGUCAGUGGUGAAAUACUCCAGCUUAGCUGGAGGGGUGCCAUUGAUACUGCGGAGCUUGAGUACAGAUGAGGUAGGCGGAAUUGACGGUGUAGCGGUGAAAUGCAUAGAUAUCGUCAAGAACACCGAUAGCGAAGGCAGCUUACUGGGCUGUAACUGACGCUGAUGCACGAAAGUGUGGGGAUCAAACAGG